CUUUGCUUGAAGGUUCUGCCGCGGGAUGUCGUGUUCGUCUCUGAUCUCCAAAUUAGUAGGUAUGUCAAGGAAGUGGUCGAAUAGCCACAUCCAGUGGCAAAGAGAGCCUCACCCUGCAGGCCUGAAGGUGUCCUAGUGGAGCAGGUGGCUGAUGGAUCCCAGAGCGACACAUGGGUGAUGAGUGCAAGCAUGCUUUGAGACUGCCUGUAGGAUGGGUCCCCUGGAUUGCAAUGCAUUAAUAAACUCAUGGAGAAUGUGGCAUCCAGGGCAAUAUGGCUUGAUCCUAUGAAAGGACACAAGCAUCAAGAUCUGAAGGAGUAGUUGCAGUAGGUUUGCUCGACUCAAGACUGAAGAGUACUGCAACCAGAAUGCCUUAAUUCUGCCUGAGGAAGACUGACUCUAGGCAUAAGUUGUACAAAGUUGACAGGAAAAUAAAAGUUCAUUAAAGAAAAAAAAACUUUCAUUCA